AUUGAACGCUGGCGGAAUGCUUUACACAUGCAAGUCGAACGGCAGCACGGGGCGACCUGGUGGCGAGUGGCGAACGGGUGAGUAAUACAUCGGAACGUGCCCAAUCGUGGGGGAUAACGUAGCGAAAGUUACGCUAAUACCGCAUACGAUCUACGGAUGAAAGCGGGGGAUCGCAAGACCUCGCGCGAGUGGAGCGGCCGAUGUCAGAUUAGGUAGUUGGUGGGGUAAAGGCUCACCAAGCCAACGAUCUGUAGCUGGUCUGAGAGGACGACCAGCCACACUGGAACUGAGACACGGUCCAGACUCCUACGGGAGGCAGCAGUGGGGAAUUUUGGACAAUGGGCGCAAGCCUGAUCCAGCCAUUCCGCGUGCAGGAUGAAGGCCUUCGGGUUGUAAACUGCUUUUGUACGGAACGAAACGGCGGGCUCUAAUACAGUUUGCUAAUGACGGUACCGUAAGAAUAAGCACCGGCUAACUACGUGCCAGCAGCCGCGGUAA
rnacentral:rRNA from 1 species